AUUGAACGCUGGCGGCAGGCCUAACACAUGCAAGUCGAGCGGUAACACAGGGAGCUUGCUCCUGGGUGACGAGCGGCGGACGGGUGAGUAAUGCUUAGGAAUCUGCCUAUUAGUGGGGGACAACGUUCCGAAAGGAACGCUAAUACCGCAUACGUCCUACGGGAGAACGCAGGGGAUCUUCGGACCUUGCGCUAAUAGAUGAGCCUAGGUCGGAUUAGCUAGUUGGUGGGGUAAAGGCCUACCAAGGCGACGAUCUGUAGCGGGGCUGAGAGGAUGAUCCGCCACACUGGGACUGAGACACGGCCCAGACUCCUACGGGAGGCAGCAGUGGGGAAUAUUGGACAAUGGGCGGAAGCCUGAUCCAGCCAUGCCGCGUGUGUGAAGAAGGCCUUUUGGUUGUAAAGCACUUUAAGCGAGGAGGAGGCUCCUUUAGUUAAUACCUAAAGAGAGUGGACGUUACUCGCAGAAUAAGCACCGGCUAACUCUGUGCCAGCCGCCGCAGUAAUAC
rnacentral:rRNA from 1 species